UGGAAUUGAUUUAUCAUUUUCCUAAAUCUCUAUCCUUGGAAUUGAUUUAUCGUUUUCCUGAAUCUCUAUCCUUUGAAUUGAUUUCUCCAUGAUUUGUUGAUGAUUUCGAGCAGUAGAUGGAGACAUAGCAUUUAUGGAGAUUACAAUCCUCUGAAAAUCAGAUAAUGAAGUUGAAGAUCAACAAGGCCUGCAAUCUGAGCUCCAUUUCUGUCCUUCCACCACAUUCCAGGAGAGGAAAUGCAAUCCCACCAGGAGCAGAUACUUCGGUUUUCGGUAACAGCCAAGGUUCUUCGCAGUUCCGAUCGCAUUCACAACAGUCAUUUUCACAGGGCAUGUCAAUGUCUCAGCUCUCACAGAAUUCUCAAGAGGAAAUUGUGACAAAUGAACAUAGAUUUGGUUCUCAAGACAACUCGUUGAAGAGGAUUUCUUGCUUGGCGCCUGUUACUUACACGUGAGAAGAUACUCAGAUGCCAAUGGCAAGAUCAUCCAACAGUGUUAUCCGCAGAUGGAGUUCAACUUUUGCUUCAGAUAAUAGAUGCCAUGUCAGUGAGGAACUCGAACACAGAAUCAGACUGAUGGAAACUUCAUUAAACAGGUUGGGAAUGGUCCUAGAAUCUGUUCAGAGCGACGUCAUGCAAGUUAACAAAGCAGUUAAAGAAGUAUCACUGGAAAGUUAAGUAUCUCUAUUAUAUCAUAACAGGAACUAGAAAAGUUGUUCUCAGACCAUGAGCUUCACUUCUUGCUAAUCUUUUGGUUGUAAUGACUAAACUAUUUACUGUAAUUACUCAACCAGCAUGUGCCUUGUGCAACAUGGUUUAUUAAGGCCCUGUUUGGUAGACGCGUAAAAA